rnacentral:rRNA from 1 species
AGUGAACGCUGGCGGUAGGCCUAACACAUGCAAGUCGAACGGCAGCACAGGAGAGCUUGCUCUCUGGGUGGCGAGUGGCGGACGGGUGAGGAAUACAUCGGAAUCUACUCUGUCGUGGGGGAUAACGUAGGGAAACUUACGCUAAUACCGCAUACGACCUACGGGUGAAAGCAGGGGACCUUCGGGCCUUGCGCGAUUGAAUGAGCCGAUGUCGGAUUAGCUAGUUGGCGGGGUAAAGGCCCACCAAGGCGACGAUCCGUAGCUGGUCUGAGAGGAUGAUGAGCCACACGGGAACUGAAACACAGUCCAGAAGCCUACGGAAGGCAGCAGUGGGGAAUAUUGGACAAUGGGCGCAAGCCUGAUCCAGCCAUACCGCGUGGGUGAAGAAGGCCUUCGGGUUGUAAAGCCCUUUUGUUGGGAAAGAAAUCCAGCUGGCUAAUACCCGGUUGGGAUGACGGUACCCAAAGAAUAAGCACCGGCUAACUUCGUGCCAGCCGCCGCCGUAA